UAACUUUACCUCCCAUGGAUCUUACCUCUUUCCUAAUUUGUGUUCAUUUCUAUCUCGGACAGUGGGAGAGAGUGCAAUGGGGAGAGGAGGGAGAAACAACAGGGGAAAAAAAGAAAAAAUAAAAAACAGAGGAAGACGCUUUAAAGAUAAAUUUUUGUAGUGUUUGGUGCAACGACAGUUUUGUUUGGGGUGAAUAAAUUUUAAUAUGCUUGAGCCUUGAGCCGACACUAUUGGAUGGGGACGUAUUAGUAAUUAUAUAAAAUUUGGAAAGAUUUUGUAAUGUUAGAAUAUUCUAAGGACUUGAUUACCGGAUCUUGGCAAAUGUUAAGACUUAUUUAAAAAAAUUUAAAACUAUAUGUACUUAGUUGAAAAUUUGGUCAAA